AUAGGUAGAACAUAUCCGAUGGCGGCGGCCAGUGUGGUGCGGAGACUGGCGUGGCGCGGCCAUGCACACCAAUCAAUGUAAACUUUUCAUGAAACACGGUCGUGGGCAGAGAGCAAGUUAUCGAGAGCGACUAACAAUACGACUCUACAUUGCACAAUUAUCGUCAGUCAUCAGGAUAAUUUUACGCUUCACGCUGCCUUUUCCUUCAAUCGUCAUUAAAUGAAUAUAAAAGUACACCGUGUACCUACCUACUGUGUAACUGUGAUUAAAA